rnacentral:lncRNA from 1 species
ACAUAACAAUACCAAACUAGCAGAACUUACAAGGACAUGUAUAUCAGGAAGAGAUUAUCAGAUCUGCAACUCAAAAUCUUGUAGUCAACAUUCACAACUUCCUGACGUGUUCUUUGAGAGUGUCGUAAAGAGUCUCCACAAGAUUGAGCAGGAACCCGUCCGAGCCAUGCUUUGCCAGCAAGGAAACUGAAACAGGUAGGUUAUCGUACAUCCCUAGAGGUAUACUCACCUGCAAAUACGUAGAAAUAAGUUACAAACUUUCGCAAGAUACUUGCAGUCAAUGACGAAGAAGAAGAUCGUAAUGUGUCGUAUACAAACAUGGAGAGGGGGAGGGAGAGGUAGAGAUAGAUAGAGGGAUUAAAAACCUGGCAGAAUCCGGAAACCACGGCAAUGGAUAGGAAGCUGUAAGCCUGGCACUAAAAGCGUCCAAUAUAGUAGGAUCUGUUUGCAGCUUUGGUGGAUCCCCUGGAACUGUAGGCAUUGCGAGGAGACCGAAAUCCUGAUGAGCAAUUCAAAGAGAUUGUGUUACGUAUUCAUUAGAGACAGUAUUUCUUCUGCUAAAAGUUUCGUUUUAAGAGCAAAAGGAAGGAAGAUGCUAAAAAAUAACAGUUUGUCAGUCUCUCUACUCUAACAAAACGAACUCGUUAGAUAUGAAGUGACGGAUUCCUAAAAUGAACUUUGGCGUGUGCAAAGAUGAGAGAGAGAGAGAGAGAGAGAGAGAGAGAGAGAGAGAGAGAGAGAGAGAGAGAGAGAGAGAGAGAGUACCCCGAGAAGGUCAGUAAGAGCAGCACGCAAUUCAGUCAUCACGGAGUGACAAACAUCGACAUUUUCAUCUGUUGACCGAACGGCUGCCCAUAUACGUUCUCCUAUCCCGGGACCUAAGUCAGGUCUGACUGUACUAACCCAUUCACCAUGGUUGCUCUUGAAUUCAUACCUAUUCUAUCAACCAAAUAAUAAAUUUGGAAUUCAUUAUGAACGACAAAUUUAAAUUUUGUUAAUCAAGGUGAAGAUGCAGAAAUUAUCACACUCAUAUUCAAGUCCACCAAAUCAGCACCUUACGAGAAGAUGAAAGGCGGUUGAUAGGGCUGCCAAUGACGGUAUAAUGUACUCUUCACUUGGAUUUCCUUUAUCCAAGAAAGAGUUCAAGCUUGGAACUUUGUCCUUGACAACAUCCCCGAGGUUAGCAUGUUUUAUAACUUGACCUGCAUUUGCAGAUAUAACGAGUGAGCGUCUUCUUUCCAUGUUAUGAGCUUGUCCCUAUCUCAGCAGGAGACCCAAUUUAAUAAGUGAAUAAUUUUCGGUUAAUAAUCUGUCUAUUGAACAUAAUGGCCAAUUUGUGUCUUAAAAUGCGGGGGAAUUAUAAAUUGGACUCGAUUCAUGUCAAUCAAAAUACUUACAGCGAGAGAUGAAACAGAUGAAUACGGUCAAAUCACUUACCCCCAAAUAACUUCUCAACUGAGUCAACAAGUACUUGUUUCACUCGACUGCUUGGAACACUUGAAAUCUGGAAACAGUCUUCUGCGAUGAUUAACUGAGUGGGUACGACAGGACCCGUAUCAGGCAAUUGGAGUAACACUCGUCCAAGUCUAUUCAAAAUUGCAGGAUUCCUUGCAAACCAUCCUAUAUCAGAAGUUAGUGUCAAAAGGAUAGUUUCCGAUUGCUUAGAGUGCUAGAUAGAUCAUUCGCAUAGGUAAAGCUUUCGAAGUACUAUAUUUCCAAUUGCAGAAAAAUUUAAACAAAGAAGUGUCACAAGUAAUAAUCAACAAAAAUGCAGAAUGCAUGGAUGGCAUAUGAAUCAUUAAAGCGGAAGAAGUUAGCUACUUUCUAGAAACAGAAAUAGAGAUUUCCUGUUAUAUAAAAUCAAGGGAAAACCAAAACAUGACUUUUUUUUGUCACAACCAGAAAUCUAUUUCCUAAGCCAGUCUGCAAUAUAAAAUGUCAUUGAUUUCUCACCCACUGUAUCGAAACUUUGUGCCAGAGGAGUAACUCCAGAAGUAGAAAUGACGCCAUGAGAUGGCCGAAACCCAAAAAUUCCACAAUAUGAAGCAGGAACUCUUACACUUCCUCCAGUAUCGGUUCCUGAAAAAGUGAGGGCCUUGUGCUUCAACUUAAAGAAGCAAGAAAACAACAAAAGCACACAAGGAAUAACUUACCUAAGGAAAAAUCUGCGAGGCCUGCAGCUACGACAACAGCAGAACCGCUAGAAGAGCCUCCAGGCACCCUAUCUGGUGCGCACGGAUUUCUGGGUGUGCCAUAAUGCUUGUUCUCUCCAUUCAUACUGCCAACAACACAAUGCAAAAUUCAAGGGCGUUUUCUGUUGAGUGAUUUUCGAAUGUCCAAAAUCAUUAUAUAAAUACUUUUACCACGAAAAUAGACUUGUAGGGAUCAAUCAUUUGUCAAAAUUUUUUGCAAACAAAACAGUAAUGCAAGUUUAAGCAUGUGAAGUAAGACAAGGCCUCUUUGCACUAACCAGUAAGCCAUUUCAUCCAUGACAGUUAUACCAAUACUUGUGGCACCUCCACUCAAUAUUGCCGAAACAGCCGGAGCUGUUGAUUCAGCAGCCGGGUGAGUCCUCGCCCAAUCAGGAUUCCCAAACCCAGUCACACGUCCAGCCACAUCAAAUCUGCCUCCAAGUUCAAAUUUUAGUGAAUACAAAAAUGUUUUGGCUUUUACACACACACACACACAAGAAAAAAAAAAUUGCACAAUUCAACACCCUGAAGUUCAUCAUCAUGGUUCCACAAGCACGCAUAAAACCACACAAAGCAGGAAGAUUUAUUAAAACGCUUCUCUGAAAAAGCACUUCUCAUCAUAAGUGCUUUUGUUGGAAGUAUUUUAACUUUAGUAGAAGCAAAUCCACCACAAAGUUUCAUUAAAAAUUCAAGUGCUUCAGGUAAAAAUAAAAAAUAAAAAAACUUUUGAACUUUUUUCUUUCUUUCUGAAAGUGCUUUUAGUCAUUCUCAAAUGAAGAAACGCCCAAUCACAGAAACAACCCACAAAAUUGGGUUGUUGUUGGAGAAAACUGCUUGAAUUCAAAUCCGAAAUUCGCAAGCAUCCACCAAAUAGAAGAGUGAUAUAAAUGAGGAAAAUUUAAGAGAGUAGCUCUCACAUGUCUUUAACAGCAAAGGUGAGGCUGCUCAGAGGAAGGUCAUGUGACGAAGACGGCGGCCGAAGAAGGAAUUUCUCCACGAAAGCUCCAUGUUCUGAGUCUAUCGCCAUCCCUCUCUGCCACUGCUGUCUCAGACAAUCUCAGCCUCAGCAGCAGCUCCACAUUUUGAUGACAGAAGUGAACAGCUCUCCACUCAUCAAUCAUGCGAUGAUCACUUCAGCCAGUGAGGACAAAUAUUAUUCCUUAAAAAAAAUCUGUGUUGAUAAGGCGGUCACUUCAGCCAGUGAGGACAAACUGGAAAUUCUGGAGGUUGCUUAAGUCCUCACUGUGGUCGUUAGACAUUGAGAAUCGAUAAAGUGGUACUUAAAAGCAGGAAAAACAACUUACCAUAAAAUCUGAAACAUCAAAUGUGUUUAAAAGGUCGUACCCAGUGCACAAGGCUCCCGCUUUACGCAGGGUUUGGGAGAGGUGAAUGUCGGCUAGCCUUACCCCCAUUUAUGGAGAGGCUGCUCUCAAGUCUCGAACCCGAGACCUACCGCUCAUGGGCGAAGGCACUUGCCAUCGCACCAAGUGCGACCUCAAAUGUGUUUGGUAAAAAAAAAAAAAGCUUAUUUAAAAAAUUGUUGUCAAUGACAACAAAAAAGCAUAGAAAAGCAGAAGUAGGAUCUACUAUGCUUUAAAAUUAUCUAAGCAUAGUGAACAGUGGCCAUUUGAUGAAAUUUUCAAAUAGCAAGUAUACCCCUGCCUUUUUUACAAAAUAACAAUCGUUGCCCGUGGAAUAUUAUCUUUGACAACUAUUAUAGGGAAUUAUUAUUAGCAUUCCAAAAGUCUCAUUUGACAUUCCAAACUUUCUAUAAUUAGAAAGAAAAAAAACACUUGUGAGGAGUGUAGAAUGAGAUUUUUGGAAUGCUAAUAACAGUUCCGUUAUUAUAUCACAUUAAAUGCCAUAUCAUUUUUAGUAUUUAACAUAUUCACAUUAAUUUUAUAUAAAAGUUGACAUAACACUCAGAUACUGUUUUCUUUUUUUUUACAAGCACUUUUACAAUAAAAGUUUAUUAAACGCUUAACAACUUUAUUUUACAGCUGUUCUGCUGUUUUUUUUUUUUUUUUUAACAUAACAAUACCAAACUAGCAAAACUUACAAGCACAUAUAUCAGGAAAAGAUUAUCAGAGUCUGCAACUCAAAAUCUUGUAGUCAACAUUCACAACUUCCCGACGUGUUCUUUGAGAGUGUCGUAAAGAGUCUCGACAAGAUUGAGCAGGAACCCGUCCGAGCCAUGCUUUGCCAGCAAGGAAACUGAAACGGGUAGGUUAUCGUACAUCCCUAGUGGUAUAGUCACCUGCAAAUACGUAGAAAUACGUUACAAACUUUCACAAGAUA